rnacentral:rRNA from 1 species
GGAAGUAAAAGUCGUAACAAGGUUUCCGUAGGUGAACCUGCGGAAGGAUCAUUAACGAACCCUCGGAAGGAUGCGCUCGCUGCUGGGCUUCUCGGAAGUCAUCGUGCACACGCUCUUUCCUCUCGUUCAACCAAUCUACCCCUAUCUGUGCAUCCCUCGUAAGUUGAGAUCUCUCGGCUUAUGUUGCUCCACAAACACCAUGAUAUAUCAGCGAAUGGCAGCCGUCCGAGCUUCGUCUCGACGAAUGAAUAUACACAACUUUCAACAACGGAUCUCUUGGCUCUCGCAUCGAUGAAGAACGCAGCGAAAUGCGAUAAGUAAUGUGAAUUGCAGAAUUCAGUGAAUCAUCGAAUCUUUGAACGCACCUUGCGCCCCUUGGUAUUCCGAGAGGCAUGCCUGUUUGAGUGUCAUUAGACCAUCAACCCGACCCGCUUUCGAGCCCGGUCGGAGUUUGGAGCGUGCGGCGUGCGGAAGGCUCUCUCGGGCCUCCGCUCCUCGCGGAAUACAUCAGCGGAUGUCCACUAGCGGGUCCAGCUUUGGCGUGAUAACUGUCUACGUCCUCGCUAGGGUCGCGGUUUGCUGGCUUCCGCUUCGAACAGUCGACGUUCGCGCGACGAAAUGGAGUGACAAACUUGACCUCAAAUCAGGUAGGAUUACCCGCUGAACUUAAGCAUAUCAAUAAGCGGAGGA